UACGGAGGGUGCAAACGUUGCUCGGAAUUAUUGGGCGUAAAGCGCACGUAGGCGGACUGUUAAGUCGGACGUGAAAUCCCUCAGCUUAACUGAGGAAGUGCAUUCGAAACUGGCAGUCUUGAGUAUGGAAGAGGGUCGCGGAAUUCCCGGUGUAGAGGUGAAAUUCGUAGAUAUCGUCAAGAACACCUAUUGCGAAGGCAGCUAACUAAGCUUUAACUGACGCUGAUGCACGAAAGUGUGGGGAUCAAACAGG
rnacentral:rRNA from 1 species